rnacentral:lncRNA from 1 species
GCCAGAACCAGUUGCAGAGGCCCUUCCACUUGCUGGCAGAGGAGGAGCAGGGAUACAGAUGAGCCAAGGAAACAAGGGAAAGUAGUCAGGGAGGGCAAUAGCAUCUGGAUACAAUAGAGAAGGCCCAGUCGUGUGGAAAGUUGAUGAUGCCAGAGAGAGGAUGGUGGUGAUGGACAGCAUCCUUGGAUAGUUUCUUAUGAAGAGAGAAGAACUGGAAGUCUGAGAACGUGGCACGGGCGUUGGCGUGGCUGUGGGCCUGAGAACAGGGGAAGAAACCAUGGACACCACGAAGAAACGGGCAAGGCAGAGGCUUGGACACUUCGGAGAGAUAGUCGUCUCGGGCGAACCGGUUGGAGAAGAAGCACGCGCAGGAGAAAGAAGAAAGAAGUGGCCGAAUGUGGAGUAGAACAAGGUGCACUGGCUACCGGAAAGAUUGAUGAGAUGCAUGGAACCGAGAAAAACGGGACCUGGGCCCACAGGAGACAAUCUGAAACAGCUGGAGUGAAACACUGGACCUGUGUUCCUGAACCUUGAGGACAUCUGACCUACAGCGGAGGAAGAAGGGAGACACACCCAGUUCCAGUUUUAAGAGGCUUUCCUGAGUUCCAGCUUCCCUACAGACGGGCUACAUUCACCUCUCUGAAUCCGUGAGUGCUCAUCCAGGAACAGACUAAGAACCUGAUCAAAAAACAGCUUGCUUUCUUGCCACAGACAGACACACAAAACUGUUUUGCCAGUUUUCCCAUUGGGAGAAAGGACCCAUUUAGGACAGUUGGAUACUGGCAUAACCCAAAGCGGCAGAAGAUCCUUCACAAUGUUUAAACAAGACAUGGACAAAAGACUUUUUAGUUAACUUUCAAAGACUGAUAUUACAAACCUGAUGUUAGAACUUCGGACUUUAAGCAGAAAAUAGAUAAGUUUUGAAGGGACCAGCUCCCCUUUCGGCAGCCAUAACAGCCGAACACGUGCUUGCCAUAAACUUGCCUUGUCACUUAGAGGUCAGAUGCCUGCCUUGUGACAAGGAACCAAUCGGAAGUUAGUCACUGCCUCGUGACAAGGAACCAAUCAGAAGUUAGUUGGUGGCGCUAUGCUUUACGACCCUGGGUGUGCUUUACAGAC